AGGUGUGAAGAGUUGUGCAGCAGAGAUGUGUACCCAAAAAUUGUACUGAGAAAACUAACUCAGCCAGAGAGCAACAGGUCAGUCACAAACAACAGCGCCUCUACUCACAUGACCACGUUAACACAGAGAAUUGAAGUUAUACUUUAUGUGUGCGAGACAUGGUCCAUCAUCUCUUCCUGUCUGUGUCUGCAGGGAUUACUGCUCAUCAUAUUUAGGUUACGGAGAUCCUUCCAGUGAUGCUGACCAUCAUUUCACCAUCAAUUAGGAAUCUCCAGUCAGUCCAGUAGUGUGGUGACUCUGCUGGACUGACUGGCCUCCUUAUCGGCACAGAAUCAUCUUCAAGACCAGGAGAAGGACCGGCUCUUAUACUGUCAUCAGAAGUGAUGAGAAUCUCACUGCCUUCCAGGAGGCAUAUGACCACUUCCUUCUGCUGGCUCAGAAUCCUUCCUAUGUUGGAGCUCAUUCCAGUGAUGGUGACCAUCAUUUCACCAUCUAUUAGGAAACUCCAGUCAGUCCAGUAGUGUGGUGACUCUGCUGGACUGACUGGCCUGUAAGUACAUGAUUCACUUAAUCAGCUCUUUCUUAUCUGACCGCUUUUCAAAUUAAAUUGUAUUUAUGGAUCUGAACGGCACCUUCAGUUUUCCUGAUUCCAUAUUUCUUUCUUUCCUCCCUUUUUCUGUCUGUCGAGCCCCUGACCAAUCAGAAGGAGAAGCAGUGAGUGCUUACACAUUUAAAUGGCCAAUGCUUUGUAUUUCCAUGACUGAGAUCAGUGGAACGUUAAAAGGUAUGAAAAACUAAAUAAAGUGCAAUAAUUAAAACAUCAACAACCUCCUUUCUGUUUCCAUGUCUCUCUGCCCCACAGUCUGUCACACAAUGGGUCUAAAAUGACUUUUUUUUUAAGGCAUAAACAGUAGUAACUGACGUGAGAUCGGAGGUGUGAAGAGUUGUGCAGCAGAGAUGUGUACCCAAAAAUUGUGCUGAGAAAACUAACUCAGCCAGAGAGCAACAGGGAUUACUGCUCAUCAUAUUUAGGUUACGGAGCUCCUUCCAGUGAUGCUGACCAUCAUUUCACCAUCAAUUAGGAAUCUCCAGUCAGUCCAGUAGUGUGGUGACUCUGCUGGACUGACUGGCCUGUAAGUACAUGAUUCACUUAAUCAGCUAUUUCAAAUCUGACUGCUUUCCUUAUUAAAAUGUCUUCAUGGAUCUGAACAGCACUUUCAGUUUUCCUGAUUCCAUAUUUCUUUCUUUGCUCCCUCUUUCUCUCUGUAUGAUUGUGUGAUGGACCUUCGAGACUGAACUUCACACUCUUUAUUACCAUCAGCCUUAUCGGCACAGAAUCAUCUUCAAGACCAGGAGAAGGACCGGCUCUUAUACUGUCAUCAGAAGUGAUGAGGUGAGAUAAAACGUUUCUUAAAGACUAUUUUAUAUGAACAACAUUAAUUAGAAGCACAUGUGUUGAACAUGUAAAGAACAUGCAUCUGUUAUUUAAUCAAUGAACAUUUUUUUUGAUCCUGCAGAAUCUCACUGCCUUCCAGGAGGCAUAUGACCACUUCCUUCUGCUGGCUCAGAAUCCUUCCUAUGUUGGAGCUCAUUCCAGUGAUGCUGACCAUCAUUUCACCAUCAAUUACCGUCAAUUAAGGGACUCCAGUUCAGUAGUGUGGUGACUCUGCUGGACUGACUGGCCUGUAUGUACAUGGUUCACUUAAUCAGCUAUUUCUUAUCUGAAUGUUUUCCAUGUUAAAAUGUCUUCAUGGUUGUAAAUGGAACUUACAUGACUUCUUGUUUCUCUGUCUCUUUAACUGUUUUAGCAUCAAGACUGCACUUUACUCUUACAUUGACAACAGGAAACCUUUUAUUACCAUCACUGAGUGUUACGGUGAGGGUAUUACACGCUCACAUUGCUUGUCUUUUUUGUGCAAACAUUUGAUGAUAUUUGAUCUUUAUAUAUUUGAUCUUUAACAAGUCUCUAUACUGCAGUAAGCAGAAUGUUUGAGAACUUUUGGUUGUUUUUGAAAAAUUCAGUUUCUUGCCUUUUUUUCUCUUUUUGCAGCCUCAUCUGCACAGGAACAUCCUCUCAACCUGCAGAAGGACUAAGUGUUAUACUGUAAUCGAAAAUGACAAGGUAAGCUAAUACCUUUCUAUAAGCCUGUUUUAUUUGAACAACAGUAACUAGACAAAAAAUGUGGUCAACAUGUGAAGAACAUGCAUCUGUUGUCUAAUGAAGGAACAUGAUUUUUUUUUGAUCCUGCAGAAUCUCACUGCCUUCCAGGAGGCAUAUGACCACUUCCUUCUGCUGGCUCAGAAUCCUUCCUAUGUUGGAGCUCAUUCCAGUGAUGGUGACCAUCAUUUCACCAUCUAUUAGGAAACUCCAGUCAGUCCAGUAGUGUGGUGACUCUGCUGGACUGACUGGCCUGUAAGUACAUGAUUCACUUAAUCAGCUCUUUCUUAUCUGACCGCUUUUCAAAUUAAAUCGUAUUUAUGGAUCUGAACGGCACUUUCAGUGUUCCUGAUUCCAUAUUUCUCUCUUUCCUCCCUUUUUCUGUCUGUCGAGCCCCUGACCAAUCAGAAGGAGAAGCAUUGAGUGCUUACACAUUUAAAUGGCCAAUGCUUUGUAUUUACAUGACUGAGAUCAGUGGAAAGUGGAAGGUAUGAAAAUCUAAAUAAAGUGCAAUAAUUAAAACAUCAACAACCUCCUUUCUGUUUCCAUGUCUCUCUGCCCCACAGUCUGUCACACAAUGGGUCUAAAAUGACUUUUUUUUUUAAGGCAUAAACAGUAGUAACUGACGUAAGAUCGGAGGUGUGAAGAGUUGUGCAGCAGAGAUGUGUACCCAAAAAUUGUGCUGAGAAAACUAACUCAGCCAGAGAGCAACAGGUCAGUCACAAACAAAAGCUCCUCUACUCACAUGACCACGUUAACACAGAGAGUUGAAGUUAUACUUUAUGUGUGCGAGACAUGGUCCAUCAUCUCUUCCUGUCUGUGUCUGCAGGGAUUCCUGCUCAUCAUAUUUAGGUUACGGAGCUCCUUCCAGUGAUGCUGACCAUCAUUUCACCAUCAAUUAGGAAUCUCCAGUCAGUCCAGUAGUGUGGUGACUCUGCUGGACUGACUGGCCUGUAAGUACAUGAUUCACUUAAUCAGCUAUUUCAAAUCUGACUGCUUUCCUUAUUAAAAUGUCUUCAUGGAUCUGAACGGCACUUUCAGUUUUCCUGAUUCCAUAUUUCUUUCUUUCCUCCCUCUUUUUGUCUGUAUAUUGUUGGAUGGACCUUCGAGACUGAACUUCACACUCUUUAUUACCAUCAGCCUUAUCGGCACAGAAUCAUCUUCAAGACCAGGAGAAGGACCGGCUCUUAUACUGUCAUCAGAAGUGAUGAGGUGAGAUAAAACGUUUCUUAAAGACUAUUUUAUAUGAACAACAUUAAUUAGAAGCACAUGUGUUGAACAUGUAAAGAACAUGCAUCUGUUAUUUAAUCAAUGAACAUUUUUUUUGAUCCUGCAGAAUCUCACUGCCUUCCAGGAGGCAUAUGACCACUUCCUUCUGCUGGCUCAGAAUCCUUCCUAUGUUGGAGCUCAUUCCAGUGAUGGUGACCAUCAUUUCACCAUCUAUUAGGAAACUCCAGUCAGUCCAGUAGUGUGGUGACUCUGCUGGACUGACUGGCCUGUAAGUACAUGCUUCGCUUAAUCAGCUUUUUCAUAUCUGACUGCUUUCCUUAUUAAAAUGUCUUUAUGGUUGUAAACGGCACUUUCAAUGUUUCUGAUUCCAUAUUUCUUUCUUUCCUCCCUCUUUCUGUCUUUAUCAUUGUUGGAUGGACUUUUGAGACCGAACUUCACACAGGAAACUCUUUACUACCAUCAGCCUUAUCGGCACAGAAUCAUCUUCAAGACCAGGAGAAGGACCGGCUCUUAUACUGUCAUCAUAAGUGACGAGGUAAGAUAAAACUUUUCUGAAAUACCAUUUUAUAUGAACAACAUUAAUUAGACACAAAUGUGUUCAACAUGCAAAAAACAUGCAUCUGUUUUUUAAUCAUGAAACACUGAGUUUUUUUGUCUCUUAUCCUUUAUCUCCAUUUUUCACACAGAAAGUGACAACAAGCAACACAGAAUCCACAUGAACCACUUCAUCCUUCAUUCACACCAGCUUUCAACAGAAACAUUCUUAUUUUCUUCUUUUUUUAAGAAUGCUCAUUUAAUAGUAAUAAAAUAUUCAUUUGUUUCAACGAUUUGGACUCAUUAUGUACUAUUUGAUUAGUUACAGUGUUACUCCUGUUUAAGUGUGUGUUGAUAUUAGUAAAUACACCAUAUUUUAUGUUACGCAGGAUCAACAAAGUCAAACCUGAUUAAUUGUGUAAUUGCUCACAAGAUCCUUUUUAAGUAGUUUAUUUCUCAGAAAACGUCAUUUAUGGACGAUGCGACAAGAAAAAGCACAGAG